UACGGAGGGUGCAAGCGUUGCUCGGAAUUAUUGGGCGUAAAGCGUAUGUAGGCGGUUUUCUAAGUCUGAUGUGAAAUCCCGGGGCUUAACUCCGGAACUGCAUUGGAUACUGGAAAGCUAGAGGACAGUAGAGGAUGGUGGAAUUCCUGGUGUAGGGGUGAAAUCCGUAGAUAUCAGGAGGAACACCGGUGGCGAAGGCGGCCUUCUGGACGAUGACUGACGCUGAGACGCGAAAGCGUGGGGAGCAAACAGG
rnacentral:rRNA from 1 species